rnacentral:tRNA from 1 species
GGGGGUGUAGCUCAGCGGUGCAGCAUUUGACUGCAGAUCAAGCAGUUCCUGGUUCAACUCUGGGUCCCCCCU